rnacentral:tRNA from 1 species
GCCUGGGUGGCUCAGUGGGUAAAGCGCCCGACUUCAGCUCAGGUCACGAUCUCGCGGUCCGUGAGUUCGAGCCCCGCGUCGGGCU